CACCAGCAGAGCUACAGAGUUCUGGGGUCCACAGGUGAGGCCUUCGCUUGGACUGAAGGAGAGCUGAGGGGCUUGGAGACCCCCUUGUGUGUAUUGAACAGAGAUCCAGCUACAACAAUCCAGUUACUGC